UACAGAGGGUGCGAGCGUUAAUCGGAAUUACUGGGCGUAAAGGGUGCGUAGGUGGUUUGUUAAGUCUGCUGUGAAAUCCCCGGGCUCAAUCUGGGAAUGGCAGUGGAUACUGGCAAGCUAGAGUGCGGUAGAGGGUAGUGGAAUUCCCGGUGUAGCAGUGAAAUGCGUAGAGAUCGGGAGGAACACCAGUGGCGAAGGCGGCUACCUGGACCAGCACUGACACUGAAGCACGAAAGCGUGGGGAGCAAACAGG
rnacentral:rRNA from 1 species